GUACGUCCAUGGAGCCAAAGCUCACUCUCUCUCUCCACUAAUACUCACACAGUCAAAAUCUUCGCCACCCGAAGGUCAUUCUCAACGGUUCUUCAAUUAAACAAGUCUAUUCUUUCUUCUCAUUUGGGUCGUCUCGUGGAAUUCUAGAAAGGUCGCACAAAUAGUUGCAUGACUUCCCAUUUCUUGGGAGAAUAUGAGCUUCAUCUCCUUCUAUGGGUGCAGAAGCCACUGCUUGUAUUGGUCGAAAAGCCGAAGCCAGCAACCCCUUGCUUUUAGAAGCAGGCAAUGGCUUUUGUCACUGUAGCGGUAGUUAGUGUAGUUGAAUGAAAUUUUCGAAAUACCGGGAUGUGUCAUCUCUUCCUUUCAGCAAUUACACCACAAUGCCAUCAAACCAUUCUCUUCCGUGUUCAAAAGUGGAAGCCUCCAGCCCCGAUUAGUGAACACGCACAAGACAUCUAGCUGACUGCUCCUCUCAUUCGUGUUCGAAGCCUCAAUCCAAUCCCUAGAUUUUCGUACCAGGCUCUGAAAAUCGAAAGCUUUCCAGAAAUGAGUACUAAAGCUUGGGCUACUUUUGAUUGCGAAGAUAGUUCCAUUUUGCUGAUCAACCAAGAAGCUUCUCGCAUAACUGAAAUAGGUGUCAUUCUAAGGUAAGAGAAGGUGAUGGGUCAAGUCGUGGGAUAGAGAUGGAUGAUGAUGUAGAAGACAAAUAUCAUGGUCAUGGUGCACAAGAAAUGGAAAUAAUAAGAAAUAGCAUUACUCAAAGUUUGAUGAGUACGCGUAAUAACGUGAACAUUUGAAUAUGUUAUGAUAUUUUUUGUGUUUACUUGAUGCGAACUAGAAACCAAUUGUUAUUAAUGUUACUAAUAUAUUUGUAUAAGUUAUUUUUA
rnacentral:lncRNA from 1 species